rnacentral:misc_RNA from 1 species
AUCCUUUCUCUCUUGUUUUUCUCUCUUCUCCUCCUCUGUUUCUCUCUCCCUCUCUUUAUUACUAUCCCUCCGAAUCGAAGCAAAAGUUUACACACGGAGAAAAGUUGUUCCAACGGUUACCCAUUUUUCCUUUUCUCUCUCUAACAUAUCUUAAGAAAGGCGAUCAAUGCCUGCUCAGAAGAGGUCUCUGCCUGAUAAUCCCGACAACGAUGAGGAAGGAUGCUCUCUCUCCUCCUCUUCAAAACGGCCAACAAUAUUCUAAGCAAUCUCGCCUCUACCUACCUCCUUUUGAUGACCCCAAACUCCACCAACAACAAGAACUUGAGGAAGAAGAAGAAGACAGGUACCCCACAUGCCAUAAGAAGAAGAUGGAGAUGCUGAAGCAGAAUAAGACGAGGAACAAGAACAGCAAGCCGAAGAGAAGCAACCAGCGCAAGUUAGUUUUUUAUACGUAUUCUUUUGUACAAACGCAUACAUGGGUGUCAUGUGCAUUCUGUUGUACGUAUACAUGGGUGUUGUACAUGUGUGGUAGUGAAGAAUUUUAUUUGGAUCGAUGUUCACGAUUAAUUGAAGCGAUUGUCAUCUUAGUCUUUCCUCAGAUUCUUGGAAAGCCAAUCUUCCGGUGCCGGAGACGAAAGACUGGAGUAAUCUUCCUUUUUCUCUCUCUGUCUCACUCACUCUCAUACAUUUCUUGGCGCUACUUGUUUUCCUCUAUAGUAUAACUACUUAUUUUUUCUAUUUUCCUCUGUUGCACAUGUAGUCAUAUACAUAUGGGUAUUUGUAUUACGGGUGUAGUGUUGGGCUGUUGGCUUGAUUUUACUCAUCCAUGGCUUUUUUUAGUACAAGGGGAUUGGAGUUUGGCGAUUUCAAAAUUCUUUCUGUUCCAAGUGGAGGUUGCAUUUCGCGUCUCUACAUUGACUCCCUGUUUCGAGGAAGCUAUUUGUCUUUGUGGAGCUUCCAGACAUUUAUGAAGAUGUGCAAUGCCCAAGAUACCUAGGUACUGUUUGCUUGCUUUUCUUUUUCUCUAAAUUUGUAGAUGCUUGUAGUAGUUAGAUGUGAUUUUUAAAGUUGGAUCUGGUUGUUGGGCUACAGAUGAGUGUUUGGAAUAGAAAAGCUCCAAAUAAGCAAUUGAAUUGUAAAGCCAUCAAUAUGUUUGACUUGAUGCAUUUGAGACAUAAAAUUUAGUUGUACGUCAGGUUAUCAUUUGCUGCUAUUUUUUGAUCCAGGGAAAUUCCAGUUCCUGAUAAUGAGUCUACUGUGAUUAUAGUUUAGUGUAUUUGGUGCAAGAAAUGCAUCUUUGGGUCAGGAUAUCAUUUUGUUUCUACUCACUAAUAUUGGAAAUACCAUUCCGCAGAAAUAAGAGGCAACUGAGAUGAAUAAUGUCAAGUAAAAUCUACUUCUUCUUCCUAUUGCAGUUGCUUGUUGCAGUGUUUCUUGAUGAAGAAAUGCAAAAAACUAUAGGUGAGGACCCAAGAAUAAGGUUUAAUAUGAAAGUGCCUUCUCAAGUGAAAGCUCAUUGGCUUGAAAGCAUGUGCUCAGCAUAGUUGUGCCCCAUUUAUGUUACUCUGAAAUUCAAAUACAAGAAUGAGGAUGCCUAAGAUUUGAAUUUUGGAGUUUGGACUUUUUGAUCAGAUGCCCAUGCUAGAACACAGUUGUAUUUAAUGAGUAAAGCUGUAGUUGUAGAAUCAUACUGUUA